rnacentral:rRNA from 1 species
AGUGAAGCGGCAACAGCUCAAAUUUGAAAGCUAGCCUUCGGGUUCGCAUUGUAAUUUGUAGAGGAUGAUUUGGGGAAGCCGCCUGUCUAAGUUCCUUGGAACAGGACGUCAUAGAGGGUGAGAAUCCCGUAUGUGACAGGAAAUGGCACCCUAUGUAAAUCUCCUUCGACGAGUCGAGUUGUUUGGGAAUGCAGCUCUAAAUGGGAGGUAAAUUUCUUCUAAAGCUAAAUAUUGGCGAGAGACCGAUAGCGCACAAGUAGAGUGAUCGAAAGAUGAAAAGCACUUUGGAAAGAGAGUUAAAAAGCACGUGAAAUUGUUGAAAGGGAAGCGCUUGCAAUCAGACUUGUUUAAACUGUUCGGCCGGUCUUCUGACCGGUUUACUCAGUUUGGACAGGCCAGCAUCAGUUUCGGCGGCCGGAUAAAGGCUCUGGGAAUGUGGCCUCCACUUCGGUGGAGGUGUUAUAGCCCAGGGUGUAAUACGGCCAGCCGGGACUGAGGUCCGCGCUUCGGCUAGGAUGCUGGCGUAAUGGUUGUAAGCGACCCGUCUUG